AGGGAAUAUUGCGCAAUGGACGGAAGUCUGACGCAGCGACGCCGCGUGAGCGAUGAAGGCCUUCGGGUCGUAAAGCUCUGUCCUUGGGGAAGAAGGUCUUCGGACUUGACGGUACCCAAGAAGAAAGCCCCGGCUAACUACGUGCCAGCAGCCGCGGUAAUACGUAGGGGGCGAGCGUUGUCCGGAAUUACUGGGCGUAAAGGGUGCGUAGGCGGCCCUUUAAGUCAGAUGUGAAAGGCCACGGCUUAACCGUGGGAUUGCAUUUGAAACUGGAGGGCUUGAGUGUCGGAGAGGGUAGUGGAAUUCCCGGUGUAGCGGUGAAAUGCGUAGAUAUUGGGAGGAACACCAGUGGCGAAGGCGACUACCUGGACGAUAACUGACGCUGAGGCACGAAAGCUAGGGGAGCAAAC
rnacentral:rRNA from 1 species